rnacentral:misc_RNA from 1 species
UGUUUAUAUUUUAUAACGAUUUUACUUCAUGUUUAGUAUGAGAAACACGUAUGUAAUUAAAUUGUUUUUAUAUGAAUUGUUACAUAUGUAUACAUACCUCACAACGAACGACGGUGUUCUGACAUGUGAGAAAUCUAUAUUUUUAAUGUUGUAUUGCUGCAGAAUAUAGAGAUAGUAUUAUAUAGUAAACCGGUUGUUUGAGAAGCCUAGUGAGCGUUUGCAUAUUGUGUUGCUUACAUGUUUUUUGAAUCUUUGAAAAUUUGGAAAUAUGUAUGUCUAUGGUGUAAACUAUAAAAUAGAAAUGAAUUUCAGUGAUCUUUUUUUUGUAAGGGUUGGCAGAAGGAAAGAUAUAGUUCUCUCUCUCUCUCGCUCUCUCUCUCUCUCUCCCUCUCUCUCUCUCUCUCUCUCUCUCUCCGUGAUGUAAGCUAAAUCAUUAUGAAUUUUGUAGUAUAAUUGUUUGAUAUUUCUUAACCCCAAUAAAUCAUACUAUUUUAAACGUAAUCAGUUUUACCAGGGCCCCAGUAAAAUUAUCUGGAAAACUUCUUUAUAACAUAAUUACAUGCAUGAAAAUCUGAAAAAAAAUAUUUUGGCAUGAUACAGUAUUUUUUAGAUUGUUAUUCAAUACUUUAUGUAGAAUAAAAAAAUUGAACAGGU